UCUUUACUCACGUCACAAAAUGGAUGGAUAAAGUGAAGGAGCUCCAGUGUGUCUUAGAAGUGGGGUCGGGGUUUGGCUACCCACACAGCGUAGUGUUGGGCAUAUGGAAGGGGCAAGUGUCCCGGCUGCAGCACCGUGAACGUGUGGACCAUGCAGGUCGGAUGCAUGAUGGGCCUGGACUUGUAUCGCUCACAUAUGACAGGGAUAUUGUCAACAUGGUGGCUGGAGUGCUCAGGAAUGAUGAUGCAUGUAUGCUGGUUCCGGGGCGGCGUCCUGCGCUGUUCCGGCUCCUGCGGAGUGGCGGGGACCCUGUCCCCGAGGACCGGGGGGCGGGAAUGUAUACGGUCCCCUUGUGCAGCCAUAGUGAAGGCCGGAACCAGUGUUAUGUUGGCGGUGCUGGGCGGAGCCUGAAGGGGCGGAUUGGGGAGCAUAGGGCAGACGUUGCCACUGGUGGACUUGCCGCUGCCCUCGCGGUGGGGGGCUGCGA
rnacentral:lncRNA from 1 species